rnacentral:lncRNA from 1 species
CUCUGUCAAGAACCUAGAUGAGGAGGGGAUUGUAGCAUAUUCCUAAUGGAGCACCAAGGUGAUGUGACACUGCUGCCUGGUCCCUGCCCUCAGAGAAGAUUGUGACAUAUCACUGCCCCGAAACCCAGGUGUGAUUGUUACAUACACCUCUGCCCAGCACCUGAGUGAUUUGACUCUUCUGCUUGGGCCCAGCGUACAGAUGGGAUUGUGCCGCAUUGCUGGACCCAGCACUUAGGUGAUGGACCUUGUGACAUAUAUCUGCACCCAUGAUCUAGAAGAUGUGACAUUUAUUUUUUGCCUGCACCCUGCCCUGCACAGGAAUGAUUGUGACAUAUCCUUGGAACCAG